CCCUAAUAUUCAUUCUUCUCCUUCACGCUUCUGGAUAUUCUCAUACGCUCAAACCCUAGACUCUUAUCUUCCCCUUCACAAUUCCUUGGCCAUUGAAGCAUUCGAUCUUCAAUUGUUCUUCCAAUAUUUUCGAUUUCUUAAUCAUUUAUUCAUCCUAUACCCAUGAUGAUCGGACAAGAUCAGAAUCAACUGUAUACAUCUCCUUCGAUUGGUGGCUAGAGAUGCUUUGCAGAGAGAUGAUGUUAAACAUCUAGGGUUUGGGACAAUCGGUCCAGUGUUUCAUCAAUAUUCAGUAACUUUAUAUUUUGAAUUUUAGUUUUGAUUUUGAGUUUUCUUAUGGUUUAAAUCAGGAACUGGAGUUUAACUUUAGAACUAUAUUGGCUACAUCAAUCGGAUUUUUGAGUUCAAUAUCAGUUUUACUUUCAUCGAACAGUCAAUCCACCUUCAAGUAAUCCUUUGGGUUUUCAGUUCCUCCACCCUAUUUUAGUGCAAUUGAUUAUGUGUGCUGAUGGAGGUUCAUGGUCUGUCAUGCAUAGUUGUGGCAGUCUACGAACGCGCUGUUGUUGUUCGGAUCGAGAUCACACCGUGUGUAAAUGUUUGCUUUACUUUUUCUUCAUGUAUUGUGUAUAACACACGUAAGGUGGGGGAGUGAGUUUCGCGAAAGCCGCAGUUGAGAGUGACACAAGAGUGCUCGCUUCCGAUGCUAGAAGAAAACAUAAAACUAGAGUCAACACAAAUGCUGCAGGAUUUUACCGGCACUUGUAACGACCAAAGAAAAGAAAGUCAUUGGAAAACAAUAGUUUCAAAGUGGAAGAGCAUCUGCAGUAAGCUUGAAUCUGUAUAUACUUAAAAAAAGACCAUGGUUACAUGAUGCGAGAGUGAUGCACCAAAUAUCGCAUAAUGUGGUCCCUCACAUGAUGCGGUUGGAUGCGCGCAUCAUGAAGUUAGUCAGAUUUUUUCCCCAAAAUACAGCCUUGAUUUCUUGUAGGCUUGGAGACGGACUCUGGGUCUCGGCUAAAGUGUGUUUACUUUUCAUCUCCUCAACAAUAUCUCCAUUGACAAGGGUCUGUUCCAUUGUGACAAUUGUGGAAUCUAUAGAGUUGCUGACCGUGAGUACUACUUCCAUUGCAAGAAAUGUGGUAUGUAUAGGACAUUUUUUUGUAUGUGUGUUAGUGCAGUGCCGGAUUCAGAAUUGGUUACCGGGCCGGGUAACAGAAAAUAGCCAGAAUUGAGAAAAUUUUCAACAUUAAUGUAUACUUUAUGAUCAAGAAAUACACUAUAUUUGUAAAGCGAGACCAUGGAUUGGGUGGCAAACACGGUAGAUCGAAGAAGAAGUUCGGGAAGGGUUCAAAAACUGAAAAAGAUGCUAGCUACUACCUUGUGGACUCUCGAACAUGGAAAACAUUCCGACGAAGUUUGUAGACAAGCAAAAACUUGAAACCGAGUAACUUCUGAAUGGCUAAUUUUGUUUUAAAUUAGGACUUUAUGGUGUUAUUCAUUUACUUUUCAAAUGAUUAUGAUGAUUUGAAACAGUGUAGACAUGGACUUGAUUAUGAUUUUCCAUCGUGGGUUUUUUUUUUCAGGAACCAACAACACAACUGAUUUUGGGUUACAAGUCUUCAUUCAAGUUGUUUGGUUCACAGACGGAAGAGACCCAGAGUCAACCAAGUUCCGCCAUUCCGUUCGAGUAUUGCUAUGAAUUAAGUCCAAAUCAGAAGACUUUCGAAGCGCCUUUGAUGAAUCUAACCAUGGAAGGAGGAGACAAGUAUUCGGUCAAAAAUCCCUUUGUCUUUGUUCCUCUUGAAGAUGGUGGAACCGUGUUUUGUUUGGGUAUCGAUAAAAGUGAGGAUGUAAACAUCAUCGGGCAAAACUCUUCAUGAUGGGUUAUCGAGUAGUGUAUGAUCGCGAGAAGAAUAUUUUGGGCUGGAAAGCUUCUAAUUGUGUUACCAACUUCGUAUGUGAAGAACAGUGCACUAAUUUAGUUCUGUGAAGAUUUGGGCUUAACUAUUGAGGGGAUCCUUAAGAUUGUAAUGUUUACAUUGGAACCAAAGAUAUGCUGCAAAAACCUCAAAUGUGCAACUCGUGGAGCUGCUUGGAGCUCAGGAGUGACUUAGGAUUGAAGGAAUUCGAAGAGAACUAUGGUGAAAUUUGCAUGAAUUCGUUUGCAACAAUAUCUUGCAGCUUGACACGAUACAAAUAUGUGAUUUAGCAAGCAUGACGUUGUCUUGAUUAUUAUGAUUAUUGACUGCUUAUAUGUCUUUUUUUCUUGAUGUUACCAAUCUAAACUGUUGUCAAAUUCGAAUUAUAGAUACUAAUCUGGUAGCCCAACACGAAUGAAGCCAGAAUCAGUUAACACAAACCUUAUGGUAUUUUAGGUUAUAUUAAUGGUGGUGGAGCAACAAAUGAAUCAUAACGGACCUGUUUUUAUGUAGCCAUUCAUCGAUUCGUCGUAUUAUUAUUAGACGACUUUUUUACUUGCUUGAAAGUAGCAUUAGCACCGGUGGUGGUGUCGUUUGCUGGCAAGUGAUCAGGAUAAAGAUAUGCUAGAGGUGUAUUUAGGGAAGCAGGUCUGUAAUGGUGGCUGCAAAAACUACACUUCUUCACCUAAUCCAAAAGGCGGUUAACCGCUUACGUUAAUCUCAUUAACUUAAACAAUAUGUGUGUCUACUUUAAGUUGAUGUUAUUGAUAAUGUAUUUUGGUGAGAAUUAAUAUUUUUGUUCUUUAACUCAGUA